AGGACGAACGCUGGCGGCGUGCUUAACACAUGCAAGUCGAGCGGAAAGGCCCUUCGGGGUACUCGAGCGGCGAACGGGUGAGUAACACGUGAGUAAUCUGCCCCUAGCUCUGGGGAUAGCUCCGGGAAACCGGGAUUAAUACCGGAUACGACCACCUUAGACAUCUUUUGUGGUGGAAAGAAUUUCGGCUAGGGAUGAGCUCGCGGCCUAUCAGCUUGUUGGUGGGGUAACGGCCUACCAAGGCGACGACGGGUA
rnacentral:rRNA from 1 species